CUCUGGGAAGGGGAAGGGGAAGGAAAAGGAGAAGGGAAAAGAGAAAAGGGAAAGUGAAGGAAAGAGAAAAUGAAAACAAAAAAAAAGAAAAAGAAAAAAAGGAAACGAAAAAGAAAAAGAAAAAAGAAAAGAAAGAAAAGUGCUGACGUGGAAAGAGGGAAAGAGCCUGGUCUCCCAGCUGAAGCUGAUGCCUGAGACCCAGGAUGGGCUUCUACCUCUAACCAACCUCUGACUUGGUUAAGGCCCAAACUGCACUCACCAGCUGACCACAAGCUUCCACACUGCCCACACUUUCUUGGCAUAACACCCUGCAUAAGGAACAAGCAUCUCAUUCCUGUGCAGGCUUACAGCUUUCUAUCUUUUAGUCUCGUAUGAGAGAGGACACGUUACAGCAUAAUACAGGGAGCAACCUUUGCCAGUACUGACAGCAUGGUGGAACCAUCUUAGCCUUAACAUAUCCUCCCAGAAGAGCAUUUGUCUUCUAGAGAAGCUGCAGUUCCUGUGUGCAGCAGAUCAGGAGUGAAGACAAGUGUUGGCAAACUGGAGUGAGCUCAGUGCAAGGCCAUGGAGGUGGUCGUGACGCAUUUGAGGAGAGAAGGAAGGAACCAGGAUUCUUCAGCCUGGAGGGCAGAUGUUCCAGUCAUUCUGCAAGUGUCCUGCAAAAUGUAAUCAAAGGAACUGAGAAUGAUUUAGACCAGAAGGCACCACUGCAGUCCAACCUGGCUCCAACAGGGCUAACAACAAAGACAGAUGAGGUUCCUACAUUCCCACUGAGUACUGAAUAUCUCCAAACAUGGAUAUCCCACCAUCUCUCUGGAUGCUUUCCCACAUUUACACUUCUCUUGUUGGGAAGACCUGUUACUGUUUUCUGAAAAACCUCUCUUAAACCUGAGGUUCCCAAAGUGGACUCCAUUCUAGAAGCAACCUGAUGAGCAUCAAGAAGCAGAGGGAGAGCCUCCAUAAGCUUGCAAGGAUAACUCAGUCCCUGGUCAGCCACUGAGGCCACAGAGUCCUUGGAUAACACGUGUGCUGGCUGUCCACCAGGGCUGCAGAGCUCAACAGUCUGUGGUUCCCGUCCUGCACCGCUAUGGGCUCAUCCCAGCCAGGGGCAGGACACUGGGCUGUGACUACCAGGAGCCCGUUUCUGCAGCCUGCUGAG
ensembl:lncRNA